rnacentral:rRNA from 1 species
CCUACGGGUGACUGCAGUGGGGAAUAUUGCACAAUGGGGGGAACCCUGAUGCAGCGACGCCGCGUGAGUGAAGAAGUCAUUCGUGAUGUAAAGCUCUAUCAGCAGGGAAGAAAAUGACGGUACCUGACUAAGAAGCCCCGGCUAACUACGUGCCAGCAGCCGCGGUACUACGUAGGGGGCAGGCGUUAUCCGGAUUCACUGGGCGUAAGGGGAGCGCAGGCGGCAUGGCAAGUCUGAUGUGAAAACCCGGGGCCCAACCCCUGGAGUGCAUUGGAAACUGCCAGGCUGGAGUGUCGGAGGGGUAAGCGGAAUUCCUAGUGUAGCGGUGAAAUGCGUAGAUAUUAGGAGGAACACCAGUUGCGAAGGCGGCUUACUGGACGACUACUGACGCUGAGGCUCGAAAGCGUGGGGAGCAAACAGGAUUAGAUACCCGGGUAGUC